ACGGUGAGUAACACGUGGGUGAUCUGCCCUGCACUCUGGGAUAAGCCUGGGAAACUGGGUCUAAUACCGUAUAGGACCAUGCUUUAGUGUGUGUGGUGGUAAAGUUUUUUCGGUGUAGGAUGAGCCCGCGGCCUAUCAGCUUGUUGGUGGGGUAAUGGCCUACCAAGGCGGCGACGGGUAGCCGGACUGAGAGGUUGGUCGGCCACAUUGGGACUGAGAUACGGCCCAG
rnacentral:rRNA from 1 species